rnacentral:rRNA from 1 species
CCUACGGGUGGCUGCAGUAGGGAAUCUUCCACAAUGGGCGAAAGCCUGAUGGAGCAACGCCGCGUGGGUGAAGAAGGUCUUCGGAUCGUAAAACCCUGUUGUUAGAGAAGAAAGUUCGUGAGAGUAACUGUUCACGUUUCGACGGUAUCUAACCAGAAAGCCACGGCUAACUACGUGCCAGCAGCCGCGGUAAUACGUAGGUGGCAAGCGUUAUCCGGAUUUAUUGGGCGUAAAGGGGACGUAGGCGGUGUUUUAAGUCUGAUGUGAAAUCCUUGGGCUUAACCGGAGGAGUGCAUUGGAAACUGGGAGACUGGAGUGCAGAAGAGGAGAGUGGAACUCCAUGUGUAGCGGUGAAAUGCGUAGAUAUAUGGAAGAACACCAGUGGCGAAGGUAGCUCACUGGGCUGUAACUGACGCUGAGGUUCGAAAGCGUGGGUAGCAAACAGGAUUAGAUACCCUUGUAGUC